rnacentral:tRNA from 1 species
GGGGAGGUGCCGGAGUGGACGAACGGAGCCGCCUGCUAAGCGGUUGUCCGGGUAAAACUGGACCCAGGGUUCGAAUCCCUGCCUCCCCG